rnacentral:tRNA from 1 species
GCGCGCGUAGCUCAGCGGUAGAGCAGCGGACUUUUAAUCCGUUGGUCGAGGGUUCAAAUCCCUCCGCGCGUA